ensembl:lincRNA Gm33370 predicted gene, 33370
AAAUGCCUCAACCUAGGAGAGGAAGUGCGCUGCUCAGGAACUACCCGGGGCUGCAGAUUCCCAUCGUCUGGAGGCAGGAAAAGCUGCCUGUAGUGUGUUCGUGUGCCUGUACAGAAUUCUCUUGCCAACCUUUGCAGCGAGAGAUAGUAGCUAAAUGCUCAGAAUUAAAGAGCAACCCCCAAAACCUGGAAAAGAGUCUAAGUGAACAAAGCCUGCCUGGAAUGGAAGAGCUCUGAGUGAAGAGAGUCAGCACAGAGAAGCAAACAGAGGACCCUGUAAGGACUACUUAUCAAACUGUAAUCAACAACAACCAUUAACAACCAACAACCAACCAACCAACCAACCAACCAACAAUCAACAACUCCACCUCUCAGGGCCCUUUUUUAUAUAUUCCCUGAAAACUUUCCAGAAUUCCAAACACCACACAAUCGCAUAAAACUGUCUUCAAGUGUCAGAAUCAUGCCCCCACCAGAGCUCAAGGAAAA